rnacentral:piRNA from 1 species
UGCUCGCUCAGUGCUGACUGCCGAAGC